GGCCAGCCCAGCAGGAUUUAUGCCAAACCAUGCCUUCCAGUCAUCAUUGACUUUUUAUCCCACGUUGUUCACGUAAUAUUGGGCAUAAUGUGGGGCAUCAUACUUCUGUGGGCGUUGUCGAUAGGGUUGUGCAUUGCCAUUUUGUGCCAAAUAAGUAAAAAGCUGGAAACUCCUAACGUGGCCUACAGCUCUGAAGCGAAAGCAGGAAACUACACAACUCUGACAGAGACUCUGGAUGCAGACGAAAUCUGACUUUUCUCGUUACUUUUUAUUUUCUCUGUACACAAAUUUAAGGAAACUCUUGCCGAACAUCUGAAAACACUUAAUAUUC